UCUCAACAUGUUUUAUGUCCUUUUAAAGAAAUGGAAAGUGACCCAAUCAACAGUGGCAAUCAUGCGUCUGUGUUGGUCAACUACAUUUGCUGACUGGGUCAUCUCUGCUCUGCACCAGCAGUACUCUGAGGCACCAGAGCAGUACAUUAAAGAUAUCUGGAAGAGGACCUGAUGGAACUCCAGAAACAAUGAAAGCUCCACCUGAAGCUGUUCUGGUGAAUUGUUCUAAACUGAGCUGAUCCUCAGUAAUAACUGAAGGCUUGGGAGGGUUUGCAAUUAUGGAACCUGUAAAAAAACAAAAAAACAUUUGCUGAUAAUAUACAAGAUCCAACUAGUGUUUCUGUAGUGAUAUUUUGUGAUUCAUGCACAAAUAAAUAUUCUGCAGUUU